ACGGCCGCCUCCCCGGAGCCGGGCAGGGCAGCGGAGGGGAGGAAAGAGGAGAGGAGAAGAGGCCUCGGCCACUGCCGGGGCGAGCAGGGCGCCGGCUUCUUCCUGGGGAGGGGGCGGCGGUGCUGCACCGGAGCGUGCGGUGGAAGUUUAGCGGUUCCUUAGAGCAUCCUAACUUCAGCGGCGCCCCUGCUUCUGCCUGACUGGAAAAAGAGAGCAGAUGGGGAAAAAUACCCUGAAAGUGACCCGUAGAAACAAAUUCAUCGCAGCAGAUACGGAGGGGUCUGCGGCCAGGCUCUGCAGCAUGCCUUAAGCCUCAAAAUAGGAAUUUGUGAAUCUCCCUGCAAAUAAUCAGGGGAAGGAUCAGUUUAUGCCAAUGUAAGAUUCACUACCUCUGAGUAUUGUCCAUCUGCCUGUCCUAUAUCCAGCUUAUGACCAGUGAUGCCUGCAGUGCCUGACACUUGCUUUCUCUUUCCGAGAGAACAGGAGGAAAGGUGGGGCUUAUGCUCUAAGCAAAAGUCCCUGUUUGGAAUUGAGUAACAAGACUUUGUUAUGCGUUAAAGUCAAAAAUAAAUUGAUCUUGUUUAUCUGAACAGAACCAGGAUAUAAAAUAAAGUUCUAGCUACAGUUUGUGUUUCA